AGAGUUUGAUCCUGGCUCAGAUUGAACGCUGGCGGCAGGCCUAACACAUGCAAGUCGAGCGGUAACACAGGGAGCUUGCUCCUGGGUGACGAGCGGCGGACGGGUGAGUAAUGCCUGGGAAAUUGCCCAGUCGAGGGGGAUAACAUCGGGAAACUGGUGCUAAUACCGCAUGAUACCUGAGGGUCAAAGGCGCAAGUCGCCUGUGGAGGAGCCUGCGUUCGAUUAGCUAGUUGGUGAGGUAAUGGCUCACCAAGGCGACGAUCCCUAGCUGGUCUGAGAGGAUGAUCAGCCACACUGGAACUGAGACACGGUCCAGACUCCUACGGGAGGCAGCAGUGGGGAAUAUUGCACAAUGGGGGAAACCCUGAUGCAGCCAUGCCGCGUGUGUGAAGAAGGCCUUCGGGUUGUAAAGCACUUUCAGCGAGGAGGAAAGGUUGGUGCCUAAUACGUAUCAACUGUGACGUUACUCGCAGAAGAAGCACCGGCUAACUCCGUGCCAGCCGCCGCGGUAAUUC
rnacentral:rRNA from 1 species